rnacentral:rRNA from 1 species
UACGUAGGGUGCAAGCGUUAAUCGGAAUUACUGGGCGUAAAGGGCGCGUAGGCGGUUAUGUAAGUGAGAUGUGAAAGCCCUGGGCUUAACCUAGGAACAGCAUCUUAUACUGCAAGACUAGAGUAUUGUAGAGGGUAGUGGAAUUUCCGGUGUAGCGGUGAAAUGCGUAGAGAUCGGAAGGAACACCAGUGGCGAAGGCGGCUACCUGGACAAAUACUGACGCUGAGGCGCGAGAGCGUGGGGAGCAAACAGG